rnacentral:piRNA from 1 species
CCAUGAGGAUGCCCUGACAUGCCAC